rnacentral:lncRNA from 1 species
GAGUUAACAGCCUGAUUAUUGGAGAUUUCUUUGGUACUGCUAAUAUGUUUUCAGUUUUGAAAACACUAUACUGCUAAUCUUAGAAAACUCAAUCUCUUGCCUGGAAAAAGUAUACUUAAUUAUCCACAAGACUAUCAUAUUUCUAUAGAAGAUCUAGACCUAAUGUCAGCAACCUCCCAUUCCCUGGACCAGGAUAACAUUUAGCACUGAGAAGCAGUACAUCAGUGAACAAGACAAACCUAUGCUCUGCCCUCAUGGAAUCACUGCCUGUUAUGGGAAAUAUAUAUUUUUAAAAUGUGCAUACUUUUAAUGACAUGACUAGUUAAAACUGUGCUGAUUGCAGUAUAUAAGUUUCUACAACAAAUGUGCAUUAACCUUACAACUUGAGGAAAAUAACCAUUGUAAUAUUUUAAUUUUAAUUUCUGAUCUCUUCUGAAUUGGUCACUUCUGAAAUAAUUUAUUUGUGGACUCAAUAAGAGUGAAUUUUAAGGUAAACUUCAUUCACUUUUCUUUAUCUUUAUUUGGAUAUGAAUGAGACUAACGUGUGUGUGUGUGUGUGUGUGUGUGUGUGUGUGUGUGAUUGCC